AAGAAUCAGAAUUGCUGAAACACUGAUCAUUCAGAGCAAGGCUUCUCAUCCCAACACUUCCCAGUUUUAAGAUGCAGCUGGGCACUGGACUCUGGAGAUGAAAAGAGAGAAGGAAGAGAGAAACUCCAAAGAUAUCUCAGCAUCACAUGACUGUGAAGUGCAUCAGAAGGAAGCAUCCAUGGAAGAGAGCAGGAGAGUGGGUCCUGGAUGAGGACACGACCUUCAGGAUGGCCUUU